rnacentral:rRNA from 1 species
AUUGAACGCUGGCGGCAGGCCUAACACAUGCAAGUCGAGCGGAUGAAGGGAGCUUGCUCCUGGAUUCAGCGGCGGACGGGUGAGUAAUGCCUAGGAAUCUGCCUGGUAGUGGGGGAUAACGUCCGGAAACGGGCGCUAAUACCGCAUACGUCCUGAGGGAGAAAGUGGGGGAUCUUCGGACCUCACGCUAUCAGAUGAGCCUAGGUCGGAUUAGCUAGUUGGGGGGGUAAAGGCCUACCAAGGCGACGAUCCGUAACUGGUCUGAGAGGAUGAUCAGUCACACUGGAACUGAGACACGGUCCAGACUCCUACGGGAGGCAGCAGUGGGGAAUAUUGGGCAAAGGGCGAAAGCCUGAUCCAGCCAUGCCGCGUGUGUGAAGAAGGUCUUCGGAUUGUAAAGCACUUUAAGUUGGGAGGAAGGGCAGUAAGUUAAUACCUUGCUGUUUUGACGUUACCAACAGAAUAAGCACCGGCUAACUUCGUG